UACGGGGGGGGCAAGCGUUGUUCGGAAUUACUGGGCGUAAAGGGCGCGUAGGCGGCUUGGCAAGUGGAAGGUGAAAUCCCUCGGCUUAACCGAGGAACGGCCCUCCAAACUGCUUUGCUUGAGGCCGGGAGAGGCGAGUGGAAUUCCCAGUGUAGCGGUGAAAUGCGCAGAUAUCAGGAAGAACACCUAUGGCGAAGGCAGCUCUCUGGGACGGUACUGACGCUGAGACGCGAAAGCGUGGGGAGCGAACAGG
rnacentral:rRNA from 1 species